rnacentral:rRNA from 1 species
UACAGAGGGGGCAAGCGUUAUUCGGAAUUAUUGGGCGUAAAGGGCGCGUAGGCGGCAUGGCAAGUGGAAUGUGAAAUCCCUCGGCUUACCCGAGGACCUGCAUCCCAAACUGCUUGGCUUGAGUAUGGGAGAGGAUGAGGGAAUUCCUGGUGUAGCGGUGAAAUGCGUAGAGAUCGGGCGGAACACCAGUGGGGAAGCCGGCGUCCUGGCCCUGGACUGACGCUGAGGCGCGAUAGCGUGGGGAGCAAACGGG